UGGGGAAUAUUGGACAAUGGGCGAAAGCCUGAUCCAGCAAUGCCGCGUGUGUGAAGAAGGUCUUCGGAUUGUAAAGCACUUUCGACGGGGACGAUGAUGACGGUACCCAUAGAAGAAGCCCCGGCUAACUUCGUGCCAGCAGCCGCGGUAAUACGAAGGGGGCUAGCGUUGCUCGGAUUGACUGGGCGUAAAGGGCGCGUAGGCGGUUUGUACAGUUGGGCGUGAAAUUCCUGGGCUUAACCUGGGGGCUGCGUUCAAUACGUGCAGGCUUGAGUUCGGAAGAGGGUCGUGGAAUUCCCAGUGUAGAGGUGAAAUUCGUAGAUAUUGGGAAGAACACCGGUGGCGAAGGCGGCGACCUGGUCCGAUACUGACGCUGAGGCGCGAAAGCGUGGGGAGCAAACAG
rnacentral:rRNA from 1 species